rnacentral:rRNA from 1 species
GAUGAACGCUGGCGGCGUGCCUAAUACAUGCAAGUCGAGCGAACGGACGAGAAGCUUGCUUCUCUGAUGUUAGCGGCGGACGGGUGAGUAACACGUGGAUAACCUACCUAUAAGACUGGGAUAACUUCGGGAAACCGGAGCUAAUACCGGAUAAUAUUUUGAACCGCAUGGUUCAAAAGUGAAAGACGGUCUUGCUGUCACUUAUAGAUGGAUCCGCGCUGCAUUAGCUAGUUGGUAAGGUAACGGCUUACCAAGGCAACGAUGCAUAGCCGACCUGAGAGGGUGAUCGGCCACACUGGAACUGAGACACGGUCCAGACUCCUACGGGAGGCAGCAGUAGGGAAUCUUCCGCAAUGGGUGAAAGCCUGACGGAGCAACGCCGCGUGAGUGAUGAAGGUCUUCGGAUCGUAAAACUCUGUUAUUAGGGAAGAACAUAUGUGUAAGUAACUGUGCACAUCUUGACGGUACCUAAUCAGAAAGCCACGGCUAACUACGUGCCAGCAGCCGCGGUAAUACGUAGGUGGCAAGCGUUAUCCGGAAUUAUUGGGCGUAAAGCGCGCGUAGGCGGUUUUUUAAGUCUGAUGUGAAAGCCCACGGCUCAUCCGUGGAGGGUCCUUGGAAACUGGAAAACUUGAGUGCAGAAGAGGAAAGUGGAAUUCCAUGUGUAGCGGUGAAAUGCGCAGAGAUAUGGAGGAACACCAGUGGCGAAGGCGACUUUCUGGUCUGUAACUGACGCUGAUGUGCGAAAGCGUGGGGAUCAAACAGGAUUAGAUACCCUGGUAGUCCACGCCGUAAACGAUGAGUGCUAAGUGUUAGGGGGUUUCCGCCCCUUAGUGCUGCAGCUAACGCAUUAAGCACUCCGCCUGGGGAGUACGACCGCAAGGUUGAAACUCAAAGGAAUUGACGGGGACCCGCACAAGCGGUGGAGCAUGUGGUUUAAUUCGAAGCAACGCGAAGAACCUUACCAAAUCUUGACAUCCUUUGACAACUCUAGAGAUAGAGCCUUCCCCUUCGGGGGACAAAGUGACAGGUGGUGCAUGGUUGUCGUCAGCUCGUGUCGUGAGAUGUUGGGUUAAGUCCCGCAACGAGCGCAACCCUUAAGCUUAGUUGCCAUCAUUAAGUUGGGCACUCUAAGUUGACUGCCGGUGACAAACCGGAGGAAGGUGGGGAUGACGUCAAAUCAUCAUGCCCCUUAUGAUUUGGGCUACACACGUGCUACAAUGGACAAUACAAAGGGCAGCGAAACCGCGAGGUCAAGCAAAUCCCAUAAAGCUGUUCUCAGUUCGGAUUGUAGUCUGCAACUUGACUACAUGAAGCUGGAAUCGCUAGUAAUCGUAGAUCAGCAUGCUACGGUGAAUACGUUCCCGGGUCU